rnacentral:rRNA from 1 species
CGCAUCUGUGCAUGCAGCAUAUCAAUAAGCGGAGGAAAAGAAACUAACAAGGAUUCCCUCAGUAACGGCGAGUGAAGCGGGAAGAGCUCAAAUUUGAAAUCUUGAAAGGUCACCUUUCACGAAUUGUAGUUUAAAGAAGUGUUUUCUGUUACGAUCGUAAUAUAAGUUCUUUGGAAUAGGACAUCACAGAGGGUGAGAAUCCCGUCUAUGAUUGCGAUUUGUAGCUUUGUGAUACACUUUCAAAGAGUCGGGUUGUUUGGGAAUGCAGCCCAAAACGGGAGGUAAAUUUCUUCUAAGGCUAAAUAUUGGCGAGAGACCGAUAGCGAACAAGUACCGUGAGGGAAAGAUGAAAAGAACUUUGAAAAGAGAGUUAAACAGUACGUGAAAUUGUCAAAAGGGAAGCGUUUGACACCAGUGUUGUUUUUCUGAAAAUCAAUUAAAGAACUGUUUAUGCUAAGCUGUUUAGACUUUAUCAGCUAAUCUGUUUAGUUUUGAGCUUUUCUUUAAUGCACUUUUCAGUUAACAAGUCAACAUCAAUUUCUUUUGCUGUAAAAAAGCUUGAGGAAGGUGGCUUGAGAUUCGUCUUAAGUGUUUAUAGCCUCUUGCCUAUGCAGUCGGAGAGAUUGAGGUCUGCAGCGUAGAUCCUUCGGGGCUAAAUGCAUUUGUGCUAAGUUAUAGCUUUUAUAGACAACUUGUUGACUAUAAUUAGUCUUGUAGCUUACUCGCUUAUGUUAUUUUACCUACGCUUAGGAUGUUGACGAUCAGCUGAGCGCG